rnacentral:rRNA from 1 species
GAUGAACGCUGGCGGCGUGCCUAAUACAUGCAAGUCGAGCGAACAGACGAGGAGCUUGCUCCUCUGACGUUAGCGGCGGACGGGUGAGUAACACGUGGAUAACCUACCUAUAAGACUGGGAUAACUUCGGGAAACCGGAGCUAAUACCGGAUAAUAUGUUGAAUCGCAUGGUCCAACAGUGAAAGACGGUCUUGCUGUCACUUAUAGAUGGAUCCGCGCCGCAUUAGCUAGUUGGUAAGGUAACGGCUUACCAAGGCAACGAUGCGUAGCCGACCUGAGAGGGUGAUCGGCCACACUGGAACUGAGACACGGUCCAGACUCCUACGGGAGGCAGCAGUAGGGAAUCUUCCGCAAUGGGCGAAAGCCUGACGGAGCAACGCCGCGUGAGUGAAGAAGGUCUUCGGAUCGUAAAACUCUGUUAUUAGGGAAGAACAAAUGUGUAAGUAACUAUGCACGUCUUGACGGUACCUAAUCAGAAAGCCACGGCUAACUACGUG